AUUGAACGCUGGCGGCAUGCCUUACACAUGCAAGUCGAACGGCAGCACGGGGGCAACCCUGUGGCGAGUGGCGAACGGGUGAGUAAUACAUCGGAACGUGCCCCGUAGCGGGGGACAACCAGUCGAAAGGACUGGCUAAUACCGCAUACGCUCCACGGAGGAAAGACAGGGGAUCGCAAGACCUUGCACUAUGGGAGCGGCCGAUGCCCGAUUAGCUAGUUGGUGAGGUAAAGGCUCACCAAGGCAACCGAUCGGUAGCUGGUCUGAGAGGACGACCAGGCCACACUGGGACUGAGGACACGGCCCAGAC
rnacentral:rRNA from 1 species